rnacentral:lncRNA from 1 species
GCCUACAUUUUUGUUUGUUUUAGUGGAUAUUAGUCACUGUACUGUUGACUCAACAUUUGAACACUAAAAGCCUAAGGAAAAUAAAAUGUUAUCAAGUUUGAUUUCUAAUUGAUGGUUUUCUAUUUCAGGGCUAACAAAUCUAUGGCUGUUCAGACACUCUGCCCAUAAAUCCCUGUUCAUGGGCACUAGAUCACUCCAAGCAGCUAUGAAAGCUUAUACAAUUUCUACAAUAUCUUUCUCUCAGUCUCAAAGGAUAAAAUCUAGAUGAUGCAUUGGACUGUCAUCCUCCUAGGAAACCAGUAGCCAGGACGAGUCUGAAGAAGUCAAAAUAUCUUUCAAUCAGAUACCAAGGUUCUGGGUUGCAACACAAUAAAGCAAAUCACGGCAUAAAAGUGCCUGACAAAGCCACUCU